AGGAAGGUCACAGUCCUGAUUAAAAAGUCAAUGUUGGGGCAUCGGGCCAGCAGGCCAGAACAAAACUGCCUUUGUGAGUUGCUGGAGACAAGCCCGUGAUGUCGUCUGUUAAGCAAUCCAGUGUUCUGGAACAUUCAGUUCAAGCCCGUAUCAUCUGUUGGCAACAACUAUGCCAAAUUUAGGACAGAGAAGAUUUUCAGGAUGUUACUGGCAGGAAUGUGCAGAGGCAUCCUGAGCCGUCAGACGGGACAUUCCUCAUUACUCAAUACACCUGAGGAAUCUGACAGGUCCUGUAAUGAGAUUCUCACUCUGUGGUUUUUCAGUCUCAUACUAAACAGCACAGGGACCAGGUGAGUAACUCUGAACAAGGUAAACGGGAUUAGGUUAAUUUAAUAAACAUAGACGAGCAUGACAGUUUCACAAUUGUCCUGUUGGUGUUCUUUCGAACAUGCUAAAAUUAUCAACCUGACUUAACAACCUGUUCUUAUGACAUGACCGUCAGUGGUUCCGGUUUUCAUAAAAUUACAGUAUUGAACUGAAGCUCAAGAUGACUUUAUCUAAAUACUUUAUGGGAUGGGGUGGAGUUUAAUCCUAGUUUUGAAGCUAAAGCUAUCAGUUUCUUUGAAGUUGAACCUCAGGUAUUAAGAUUCUUGAUAGUUACUUUUCAAGGGAAUUUUACCGAAACAGACAUCUUGGUCUUUCUCUCAUUUUUAGUCAUAACACGUAUCUGCGGCUCACCUUUAUAGCAAUAUCACUCCUAUCUACCACUUAGAAAAAAAUGACAUUUCUAAGAUGAAGUUUGUUAUAUCAGUAGAUGAAUGAAAGUGAGCUUUGGGACGUUGCAUUGAAGGCCGUGAGUUAUUAGCCCAGCUAAUAAGCCCCCGAUCGUAUCCACUGCAUCAAACUACAAAGUGUGGAAAGUUUGAUUCUGCGUCUGAUAAUAAAUCGUGACUGUACUCAGUUUUGGAUGAAAAAAGCUAUUCUUUAAAGGGGACAUGAUGCACCACGCUUGAGUCUCUCCAUCAUUUUUGACAUUCUGUCAAGGUUAAGGAUUCUGUUUACGAGUCAACUUGUUAAUGUCGCUGUUCUCAUCGUUUUAUUGCCAGCCACCGAAUUCAUAAAACUGGAGAUAAUGUUGGUAAUUUGACAAGAAUCAGACAGACAUCAGUGUCUUUGCAGACUGGAUAUCAGAAGCCUCAGACAAGGAAAUAAUCUGUUUUUAAUACAUGAAACAUUUUUAUAUCUGUGUGCACUGUACAGUACUUGAUGAAUUAUAUUUUAGUUUUAUUUAACUGAUAGGACAAAAAUGGAUUAUUUAUUUAUUACAUAUAUUACAGCCAUCCAGUCGGGGGUGGAUGUUGCAGGAUGAGAGCAAGGAUGAGGAUAGUCAUUUUAGAGGGAGUGAGGUAUUUUUUAUAUUUUUAAAAAUUUGGUUUCAUUGAAUAUAACUGUAGAAUGGCAUUAAGAAUAAACAAAUAAAUAGAUCAAUUGUUAUAAUUUAAAUAAUGUGCAAUCAUUCACAACAAGACUAUGAAUGUCGUUUGCACUGCAGGAUUUUCAGAAACUUUGCAUUUGCUCUUAUUCAAAAAGAUUACAUUUUCUUGCACAUGCUUCAUGUUAAUCACAGUAAAGAUUCUCCAGAGUUCUUUACUCUUGAAACUUCUGUGUAAAAAGAUCCAUGUUUUUUAGGCCUCUCUUCAACAGGGUGGCAAGAUGACCUAUUGGCAUAUUCUCAUUUAUUUAAUCUAAAAGGUGGCAUAGCAUUUAAAAAGCAAAAGGUUAAUGGCAUUAAAAUGACUUCUUCGAACAGGUUAUUGAUUAAAUGCUCAUUAAACUUUGAAUGUUUCCCGGCUGAUGCAAAUGUAAUGCUCUAAGUUCUGCCUCGUAGCCAAAUUCAUCUUCACAUCCUGGCCAGUCCAGCGGUUUUGUUGAUUUAACCAUUUACUACCUAACCAUAUCCUCCGUUUAUUGGAAAUACAAUGAAAAAUACAACCACGAACCACCCACAGUUAAGUGUGUGAUUAAUGCAUGACAAUUUGUUGAAUGAAGACCUCUUGCAAUAUAUAUGAGUUCAUUUUCAGUGAGAUGCAUGAAAUAUGGAGUUGUGCAGAUCAUCUUCAGCCUUGAGAAAAAAACACUGUGAGCUGACAGACAAUUUACAGUAAUUCAUAUUGCUUCAUUUCAGUGUCAAGUUCAGUUAUGUUUGCACUUUACAAAAAGGUCCCAUUUGUUAACUACUUUAGUUAGGAUGAACUCACAAUGAACAAUACUUCUGCAUUUAUUAAUCUUGAUUAAUGUUAACAAAAGCAAUUAUGUUGUAACUUGUACCCAGAAUUUGCUUAAUCAGUUUUUUAGGGGGCCUGAGAUGAAACAAGGGGGAGCAGUGUUAAUCAGGCUCGUUACUUGCUGGACAUUCCUGUAAAAAUAAUGUUCACCUUCAAUCAAACCAUCCUGAUCUCACGGAUAUUCAUAACUAUUUUACGAGAUGGCUAAUUCGUACGUUGUGAAUCGUACAAAAUCGCGAGUUCACUUGAAGGUACAGUAGGUGUUUGGAGCUGGGCGGUAAGCUCAAGCAAUGUUGUGGGCAAAAGACAUGACAUUGUGACUCACGCCCUACGUCUUUUUUAUUCUGCCUGACUGAAUAAUCUCAUUUGUAUGUUGUGGUGGAUUACACCCACUCCAGACACAGGGCUGGUUAUUAUUUCAGUGACAGCCAAAAUAAACAGGAUAGACUCAACAAGUAAAUGCAGCACAGGCACUGAUAGAGUGAUCGGAAUCAGAGUCUAGAGAAUAGUUUAAUGAAUCUGAGCACACACACAAACCUGUGGGUGAUAUUUCCCCUGAAGAUACUUCGGUGUAAUGGUCUCACGCUUUCCAGAAGCAUAUUUCACAUGAAAUGACAAAUGUAAAAGAAGUGCAUUGCAGGUUUGCAUAUUAUUUUCUUUGCCCUCGAAAACAAACCCUUACAGAAAAGACACAUGAAUUUCACAUGUUUUUUACAUGUUUUGCAUAUACAUGUAAUACAGUAUGUUAUCCCAUGGGUUUUUACAUGUUAUCCCAUGGGUUUCACGUGGGAAUUCACAUGGAAUUCACACCAAAAUGUUCCAAAAACACACAUUUCACAUGUGAUCACAUGUGUUUUUUGCACAUGUGAACUUCGUGUGUCUUUUCUGUAAGGGAAAUCAAAUGCUUUUGGAAUGAAAAUAAAACCUUAUGCUCCCUGAAUGAUAAAUGCCAUUUUUAGGUGACUUUUCUAGCAUAUACUGUAGGGUUUAGUACUGUAUACUGCAGGUGAUCAGUCUGUCUAAUUUAAAUGUACAGUGCUUGAUAAAUUUAAGGAAUCUGUCAAAACUUGUACAAUUUUAUUGUAAUUUAUUAGGCAAAUAACAAACUAAAACAACCAAAUAGUCUGUAUUUAUGUUUUUAUACCCCAAUUUGAGUCAACACUGUCAAAAACUUCUCUCAGAAAUCAGAAAUGAAUCAAGCAUCACAUUCAGCCAUUAUUUUCUAUUUAGGAUUGCAGGUAAAUAACUGUAAUUGGGCAUCUGAAUAAACAAAUAAUAAAGUGCUUUACAAUUUUUUUCUGCUUUUCUUGUAAACCUGUAAAUUCAAAAAUUCAUGAAAAACAACAUCUAUAUUUUAUCAUUAGAAAUACUGCUGUGACUAGCAAAGAUCUGAUAAAUUCUGGCUGAUAUGGUCUCCCCUUUGGGAAUAUAUAAAAGUACAUACAAUUGGGUGGAAGGAAUAGUUCACCUUCAAAAUGUAAUGAAAUGAAAAUUCUGUCAUCAUUUACAUGCCAUCUUUUCAUUUCAAAUCUGCAGAACACAAAAGAAGGAACCCAGAAAACCCUUGGUCCCCAUUGACUUGCAUUGGUUUUGUGUCCAUAAAAUGAAGGUCAAUGAGGACCACCAGUUUUUGGUUACCAACAUUUUUCAAAAUAUCUUGAAAAGGUAUAAAAUCACACAGGUAUAAAAUGACAACAGGGUGAGUAAAUGAUGACAGAUUGUUUUUAUUUUGAUGGUGAACUAUUCCUUUUAGGACUGUAAAUCACUCAAUGCAUUAGUAAUGAUAACUAUAAUAAACUAAACACCUGAAAUUAGACAGUUUGUAGCUUCCUAAAUAUACAGUAUAAAGCAAGCAUAUACAAAUGAUCCUCUGCCCUCAUCUGUGCUUAAAUGACUGAAAAGAGCAAUUAUGAAAGCUGACAGGCUCCAGAACUUGCAGGCACUUUAAAGUUGGGCUGAACGUUUUGGUCAAUGGGUUUUGCAAGUAUAAGAACUUUAUGUGCCAAAUUCAUAAUUGAUUGCACAGAGGUUCAUUUGACAUGUUUAAAUGGAAGCCUUAAAUCUUGUGCAAGGUUCAAACAUGGCAGAUAAGCAAUACCUAAGACCUUGAUAAAAAGACUGAAAGCCAAAACACAAGAGAGGAUGCAAGGUUUAUGAUGUGUCUUUGGUCAGUGUGAUACGACUAAUAAGAAACUAUAAACUUUAAAGAGUGCAUAAAGAAGCACAUGCUUUGAAGCCAAUUCUGAAGAUUAGCAAAACGUAUAAAUUAUUAAGGUGCAAAUUCAGGUACAAUGACAUCAUGUUUGCUGAUAUGUCUCUGCAGGACGAGGUUUUGGGAAGAGGACACGUGUGUAAUGGGGUACAUUGGCAAAGCAGUUAAAAUGACUUACAGCCCCUUUAAGCAGCAAUUCAGAAAGUGUCAGAAUGUUAUUUAUUGACUCCAGAUUGUUAAGUGAAUAUCUAAGUGCUGAUGUUAAAAUCCACAUGCGCAUAAUGUUUUAGCAAUUCCCAUUUGGAUAAAUUGCCUUCAAUGCCUUAUAAAGUAGAUCACCACAUUUUCUCAUCUUGCUUUGACUUGUCUGUCCUUUAUAGAGACAGCCAAGAAUGGAAAUGGAUAUAUCACAAUCUAAUGUUGGUAUGAUGCCAUUGCAAUUCAUCCUUUCUGUUCAUUAUUUUCCGGUUUGGAACAAAAACAGUCUUGGUUGUCAUAAGGCUACAUUAUAUGUGAGUUGCAUAAAAAGUAAAAAAAAGACUGUUUAAUUGUAUAAGGCAUUUAUGAAGAGUUGCAUUUUCAAAGCUUGUGUAAUGCUCUUCGACUCUUGAAUUCAGAUCCAAGUUUCAAGCUGCAGCACAUCUGCAGUGACCUGUAGCAAAAUUAGACCAGAUAAAUGGACUGUUGGACUGCGGGGCAUACACAAGACAUGUCUGCUGUCAGGCGCAGCAGUCAUAUUUUUGUGACAAAGUGUAUUUUCCCCAUUCCACUGUGCAGUUUUAUCAUAAACACAAAAACAAACAAUCUUGGAAUAUGUUUUAUUGUUUGUUGUUACUGAUUAUGGAACAUGUUGAAAUUAGUUUUCUAUUUCUGGAUGGACAUCAAGAGAUGGGAAGCUGUCUGAUUCAAUCUAUUAACCUUUCACCACUUAAAAUGUACAAGUAAAUGAAUACUGAGUAUUGCUAUUGGAGGAAAAUCUUUGCUAUUUCAUAGCUCAGGGGAUUUGAUGGAGUUCGCAUUUUCGAUACAUACUGCAAGAUGUUGUUGUUUUUCUAAACUUGCUUACGUGAAAUAAAAAUAGAAUCAAAUGAGACAUUUGUGAAAAUAAAUAGAGUAUGUAGAUGUCAAAUUAAUGUAAAUUGUAUAGGUAAAAUAAUCUGUAUUUGGGUGAAUUUGAUGAUAAAGUUGACAUUGACAUCUUCAACAAUCUGAGCUCAGUUUGUGACAUUGUUGAGGUCUCUCUUGAAACUUUAAUGGGGACAUUUGUGAGAUUUCUGGGACUUUUUCUCAGGAGGAAUAUCUAACAUAACAGGUGACUACAGCAAAAGUUUCCAUUUGCUCUCCAUUUAAUCUCAUUGAUGUCUAAGUAAAAUAAUUGACAUAUUAAGAAGAUCUCAUCUGUGAUUUUUCUUUUUUAUGAGACUUCUAUCAUGCUAUGCACUUCAUUUGAAUUAAAUGCAUAAAACAGUAUAUAUACAGUAUACUCUAUAUAGACAUCAUAUAGACAUCUUGGUGACACAGUCAGCUUUUUGUUGCAAGUGUUAAGUAACAACCCGGCAAAUGUGCCAAAUUUGUUAAUAAUAACAAUAUUAUAGAUAGAUGCUUGUGGCAGGUGUAUGAGGAAAAAUAGGCGUCAUUCACUACGUGCUUCUUUUUUAAAUAUAUGCCCUUUAUAUUGUCUUUAAAACCUCCACAGACAAACACAGACAUCAUUUCUGAGUCGAGGACAGGUUCUAUUUUAAUAAGUGUCUCUGGAGACUUCAGACCAGGUGUCUUUUGAUAGAAGGGUGUCACAGGAGCAGACGUUUUUAGAGUGUGUAGAUGAAUAAACACACUCCCAUGAGCUGGGAAAUCAAAUCAUGAGCGCAUGCAUUGUAAUAAUCUACUUAUGGUGCAUGGACAUAUUUUGCUACCCUUUGAACACAUCACUUAAUAUUAUCACAGCUGUUACUCUGCUGCUGUGAUGCACCAUUUACCUUCAAUGCUGUGCAUUAUUAUGGGAUAUGAUGUAUA